CCUACGGGGGGCUGCAGUGGGGAAUAUUGGGCAAUGGACGCAAGUCUGACCCAGCAACGCCGCGUGAAGGAAGAAGGCUUUCGGGUUGUAAACUUCUUUUAAGGGGGAAGAGCAGAAGAUGGUACCCCUUGAAUAAGCUACGGCGAACUACGCGCCAGCAGCCGCGGUAAUACGUAGGUGGCAAGCGUUGUCCGGACUUACUGGGUGUAAAGGGCGUGCUGCAGGAGAGACAUGGCAGAUGUGAAAUCCACGGGCUCAACCCGUGAACUGCAUUUGAUAAUGUUUCCCUUGAGUGUCAGAGAGGUAAUCGGAAUUCCUUGUGUAGCGGUAAAAUGCGUAGAUAUAAGGAAGAACACCAGUGGCGAAGGCGGAUUACUGGACGAUAACUGACGGUGAGGCGCGAAAGCGUGGGGAGCAAACAGGAUUAGAUACCCCUGUAGUC
rnacentral:rRNA from 1 species